AAUAUUGGACAAUGGGGGCAACCCUGAUCCAGCCAUGCCGCGUGUGUGAAGAAGGUCUUCGGAUUGUAAAGCACUUUAAGUUGGGAGGAAGGGCUUUAGGCUAAUACCCUGAAGUUUUGACGUUACCAACAGAAUAACGACCGGCUAACUUCGUUCCAGCAGCCGCGGUAAUACGAAAGGUGGAAGCGUUAAUCGGAAUUACUGGGCGUAAAGCGCGCGUAGGUGGUUCGUUAAGUUGGAAGUGAAAGCCCCGGGCUUAACCUGGGAAUUGCUUUCAAAACUGACGAGCUAGAGUACGGUAGAGGGUAGUGGAAUUUCCUGUGUAGCGGUGAAAUGCGUAGAUAUAGGAAGGAACACCAGUGGCGAAGGCGACUACCUGGACUGAUACUGACACUGAGGUGCGAAAGCGUGGGGAGCAAACAGG
rnacentral:rRNA from 1 species